CACAUCUUAUGUUGAGGAUGUGACAGGCCCCAGGACCUGACGGAACCACGCAAAUGUGGGAAAGAGCAUUUGAGGCGACAGACACACACCAAGCACCUGCCCCGUUUUUGGGAAGCAGAUGAUUCUCUGGCACCUGCUCCAUCCACGUCUUAACCUCAGACCUGCUGGCAUGCAGAUCAUCUCUUGCAAAGUGACACAGGUGCAGGGGUUCCUGGUGCACCUGUUCUGACCCAACUGAAAGCUGAAACAGUGAGGGCUCACCCAGAAACUCUCGCCUGGCUCUGCUUCUUCCAUCCAGGACCUUGCUAGGUAACUCCAGAGGAAUUGAGAAAUUGCCAGGGAGUGGAAUCAAUAGCAGGACAAAACCUUCACGUUGGGAAUGCUUUGAAGCUUUCCUCUGCAGCUCAGCAAUGCCCUUCCCUCUCACACAUUGAUGGUGAUGCCAGAGGAGGGGGUGUUGUAAUCAGCCUUCUAACAGCAAGAAGAGAUUAAUACUACCUGCCGUAGGGGAGGCUUCGCAGGGAAUUCGCAUGACCAGUUCAACAAAGACUUUUUGGAUCAGUCUGUAUGUUUACACAAUCCCUUUUUGUUUUCAUUCCUUAAUCAUACACAACUGCAUACCCAAUUCCCUUUCAGAAAUGUAGAGAAGCCAUCUUCUUUCCUUUCUUUACUGUUAAAAAUGUAAAUUGCCUGUAUAAUUUUGAUGUGCUUGUCCUGUAUCUUAUACAAUUUUGCAUGUAUUGCCUCUGAGUUUAGGCAUUCCUAGAAUUCCUGAUACGGGCCAAUUUCUGCCCCGGGCUAUGGGAAAUUCGGUCAAUUCAUAUAGUACAGGGGAGAGAGAAGACAGGCUUUUUCAGGCCCUCCAUAGUUCUGGACUCUGUGACCCCAGGCAACUUACUUAACCUCUCAAGGUGUGUUACCUUAUCUGUAAAGAAAUCCUUACUGCCUUUAUAGGGCUUGGAAUGAGAAUUAAGUGAAUAAGACCUAAAGCCAGCUCCUACUGGCCCAUACCAUGUGCUCGGUAAAUGGUUAUUUUCCAUCCACUCCUUCUAUUUUUAACUCUGACACAUAUUUAUUGUGUAACCUUGAGAGAGCUCUUUCAACACUUAGGCCUAAUAUCAGUCUACAUUUGUCAUUUAUUGCUUCUUUUCCCCCAUUAGCCUGUGCUUUCCCACAAUAAAUUCUAAACACCUUGAGGAUAGAACAAUAUAUUUUAUCUUUUAGGUGUUUUUAUGCCCAGUUACCUAGGAUAUGUUUAUCAUCAAGUAAGUGGUCAGGUCCUUUUUAAAUAGCUUUUCUUCAUUUCAGCUUCAUCAUUUGUCAUGCGGUGCCAAUGAUCGUGUUGCAGGAAAGGAGACCCCUUCCAGGGCCUGGGAAUGGGCUCGUGUCUAACACUUGGAAAUGAAUUGUCCGAGGAGACACAC